rnacentral:lncRNA from 1 species
GGAGCUUCAUGAGAAGAGUUCGACAACCGCAUGAUCUAGUGUAUUCAGGGUGCAUUUGGCAGAGCUUCCAGAUCUGAUUCUCUGGUUAAUCCAGCAGGAGCUCUGCCAAUGAACUAAAAGGCUGGGAGCUGAAAAAAGUAGCUUCUCUUGAUUCUGUGAAGUGAUUCUCCAUCCUGAUUUUAAGAGUUUACGCUAGAGAAUAAAAAAGAAUCAACUUUCAGUCACAG